rnacentral:lncRNA from 1 species
UUAGACAGUUUGCCAACUUGUAUGUCGCGGCAAUUCCAGGAAGACCGAGCCAACACUCAACGCAUACCAAUUUUAGCCCAACUGUACCUGUGCCAGAAAAAUCUGCUUAAAAAAUGGCUAGAAAAUUGGCCUGUGUCUUAGGCUGUGUGGACAAGAAAAUGGCUAGAAUCAAGUCAUUUCUUUCACCCUUUUCAGGCAUAAGCCUAAGUACUCUUGCACACAUGACAAGGAUUCUAAACAUGUUCAAAACCUACAUAAAAAGGUCCAUACAAUAGGCUAAUAAUCCAUACAACCAAUAUGCCAUAUAGACACCUCAAGCACAUACAUCAAACAUACCUAAACAUGUGCAUAUUAAACCAUUUAUCAACUAACUUGUUUCCAUACCAAAACAUAUCACAAUUGGCACAUAUCAACCAUACCAUAUUAGAUUCAUGCCAUAUCAAAAUAACCUUGUCAUUUGGAUCAUUUCUCACAUUCAUCAAAAACCAUCUAAAUGACACAAAUCUAGCCAUUUCCAAAUGGUUCCAACAACCAACAUAUAUACAAACAAUAUUUUAAUCAUGUACAUUUAUUCAAAACCUUUCCAAAGCAUACCAUAACUUGACCAUGUUGAGGUCAAUUCAUCACCUACCAUUUUGGCCAUUCAAACAUGUAUUUACACAUUGUUAAAAUAACACACAUCAAAAAGGCAUCAAAAUUACCAAGAUUACAUUAAUCAAAAUGACAUAUUCAUGUCAAACUCAUUAACUAACAUAAACCACAAGUCCACCUAUAAUGCCAUUAUAACCUUGAUCAAGACAUCAAAAACUACCGAUAUAAUCGUUGGAUAGUGAGAUAGAUCUUCAACGAGCUUCCAAACCAGUCGAGCUUCCGGUAAUCUGUAAAAUAAAGAAAAAAUAACUACGUAAGCAAUGAAUGCUUAGUAAGCUCAUAUAAACUUUAAACAUAAUAUUUCUUUUUUAAUAAUGAACUUUUUGGGGGUAAUUAUAAACCUAUACCAACUUCAAAAAUUUUAUCAAACUUUAAAACCAUCAACUCAUAAAUGAGUAAGUUCAUCAAUAUCACAUAUAUUUUUUAUUCCUAACAUAAUAGGAUUUUAUAAGACUUUGAACCCUUCCAUUUACUUACUUUCCAUUGCAUUUACUUACUUUAGCUUAAAUAACAACAUUAAUUCAUUAAUUAGUAUAUUUGUUCAUGAAUUAGGUAUAUUCAUCCAUAGCAUAUAUAAAUUUCUCACAUAUAAGUACAUCAUUCAACUCAUCAUUCCCUCUUCAUCAUAUUACAUUUCAACUAUGAACUUACCAUUUCAUUACAUUUCCUCACUCGUUUCAUAUGCAUAACACACAAGACAUAAGCAUAACAUCAACUAUGGCCACAAGCUAGUGCAUUUAAACAUAGCUAUUUUGGAACCAACUUCAAGAUAAACCAUUUAAUAAGAAAUUACAUCCUUUGAUCAUUACCACCUUUUCAUCAACAUAAGUAUAUUUUCAUUUGGACACUUACCAUUCUAAUGCAUAAUUUUAAAAGUAAACAUAAUAUAAUCCAACCAAUAGUUUGGCACAAGCCUAAGCAUUAUCAACAUUACAUGUUAGUACAUCAAUUCAUAAUUCACUUGAAUUAAGAUAAGAUAAGUCAUUGAUCAUGAAUAACCUUACUUGAAAUCAUCAAUUUCAUGAACAUAGACAUACUUUAAUUUAACAUUCUCUUUUCAUUCAUUUCCAUAGUUUUCAUGAUAUAAGUCAUUUGAGUGCAUACCUUUCCUUCCCUUUUCAUGCCCAUUGAACUACUUAGAAUAAUAUCGGAUACAAGGGAAAUCUCACACAAAGUGUGCUAAACAUAUGGUCGAAACCAUUCCUUUUCAUCAUUGCUCACUCGAGCCCUAAAUGGGUCUGCUCACACAAGUUGACGGUCGGAAUGUAGCUAUACAAUGCCGUUCUCACAAGUUGAUGAGUAUCCGUAAAAAAUGUCUGGACUUAGCCAUUGAUAGGACAUGGUAACCUAGGUCUGCUCACACAAGUUGACGGUCGGAAUGUAGCUAUACAAUGCCGUUCUCACAAGUUGAUGAGUAUCCGUAAAAAAUGUCUGGACUUAGCCAUUGAUAGGACAUGGUAACCUAGGUCUGCUCACACAAGUUGACGUUUAAAAUGUAAGCUACACAAUGUUGCUCACACAAGCUGAUGAGUAUCUACAACAAAUUCCAGACCUAAGCCAUCGAUAGGACAUUCAGGACCAGCACCUGAAACAUGAAAACCCUAAUGACAUGUCAUUUGUAUCAUAUAUAUUUCUAAUGUUCAAACGGGGCUCGAUAGUCGUCAAAACGUCGUUGGAUUUCCAUCGUUUCUUUAUAUGAUAAAUUGCAUAAUAAUACAUAACAUAUAUAUAUUGAUUCAUUUACAUUAAAACAACACACUAAACAUUAAAUGUAAUCAACAUUUAAGUGAUUAUAGUUCAUACGAACUUACCUGACUAAAUUACAGAAAUGUCGAAGUAUAGGGGCUAUUUGGUAAUUUCUUCAUUCUCCUCGAUUUUCAACUCGAUCUUGAUCUAAAUUAAUAAUUUCAUUCAUUUUAUUACUUAAGAUAGUAAAAAAAUUUAUUUUAUGCAAUUUAGUCAUUUUUUACAUUUACAAAAUUGUCUCUAACAUUUUACUUUUAUUCAAUUUAGUCCCUCAACCUAAAACAUGCAAAUUAACCAUUAUUAUUGCAAGCCCAUGCCAACUGAAUAUUAAAAGCAUCCAUUUCAGCCCACUUUUGCAAUAAUUUCACAUCAAGUCCUUGAAAUAUUUCUAUUUCAAUAAUUAGUCCCUAAUUGGCAAAUUCAUCAAAAAUCACUUAACAAAAUACUUUUAAAUACCAACCAGCAAUUUAAAUUCAUCAUUUAACAUCUAAAAUCACAAAUUUUCAUCAAUGGAAACAUUCAAACUCUUUAACAAUUUCAAAAACAAAGGUACGAGCUAGCUGGAUCUAGUUGCAACGAUCUCAAAAACAUAAAAAUUAUUAGAAACGAGGCAAAAAUCAAAUACCAAAUUAGCUUGUGAAGUUUCCGAAACCUCAAGGGCUAAAAAUGGUUCCUUUCUCCUUAAAAUCAGUGAAGAAGACAUGAAAAUGAUGAUAAUAACUUUUGUUUUUUAUUUAAUUUAAUUUAAUUUAAUUUAAUUUAAUUUAUCAAAUUACCAUUUUAACCUUGGAUAAUAAUUAAAUAAAACACUAAACCCAUACCCAUAUUUUUCCACUAACUCCUUAAAUGGUUUAAUUACCAUUUAAUUCCCUUUACCAUUACUCAUUAAGCCAUUUAAUCACUCAAAUCUAAUAGUGAUCAAAUUUUACAUCUUUUACAAUUUAGUCCUUUUUAAUUAAUGAACUAUGGAAACAUUAAAAUUUCUUAACGAAACUUUAAUACAACCUUAAUAAAAAUCCGUAAAUAUUUAUAAAAAUAUUUACAUCUCGGUUUAUAAAAACGAGGUUACGAUCCUCAUUUUCUAAAACCACUUGACUUUAGGGUCUUACCACUUGAACUUAAUGAAUCAUUCGAAUACAUAAAUUACCAUAUCAAAAACAUUUUUAAAAAUCAUAUUUGACUCGUAAAUAUUUUGUAAAUAAUAUUUACGAACUUACUCGUCGAAUUUGUGUCCUCGAAACCAUUGUUUCCAGCACCACUAAAAAAUGGGUUGUUAUAAACUAUCAAUGGCACCUUGGCGUGCUAGAUAUUGUAGUUUGCCAAAAAUUCAGUUGGCAUGAAUUUUUGAAUUCUUAGAUCAGUGUAUAGCAUUCAUUCAAACUAUAAUACAAAAUUAUAAGUUUUAUUAAGUACCUAAUAUUAAAUUUCAAAUCCUUAGGUAAAUAUUAUAUAAUUUAUAUUUUCAAAAACUAACCUCGACUUUCGAUCAUUGAUCUAACAAUAGGAAAAUAUCUUCGAGCUUGUCUGCUAUAACCACAUGACUCGCCUUAUGUUCCACCUAUUCAAAUAAUAUGUUAUUUCAAAAAUAUAAUAAUGAAAAAAUAUUAUGAUAACUAUAUUAUAAAAUGAAUUUAUCUUAUUACUAGUGGGAAUACAUAAGGGGCGUUUACUCGAGGACAUAAAAAUGGUAAUUGAUACUAUGCCCAUGACUAAAAAAGGAGUAUGCAACCACCAAUUUUAUUUUUUUGUGGUUCCAUCGCCCAACACAUCUUUCGAUACAAUGCUGCCAACAAAGCUAAUCUCCAUCCGAGUCGCCCCACUUCUUUCAAGUCGACUAGUUGUAGUAGUCACCUUAAAUGUACUAGAUUUUGAAAUUUAUCGGGCAUUAGAAUACCCUCGAUUAACCUCAAGAUUAGUGCUUGGGAAUUUUUUUAAACGGCACUGGUGGAGUUGUCGAUAUAAUUGAAAUUGUAUUCUAAUCAUUUCUUCUUUAUUCGACUACCAUUAAAAUUUUUCGGCACUUUGCCUAAUAGUUUGUUACCUCCCCAACCCGGCCUAGACAUUAUGGCCAGAUAGUGAAAGCUACAUUAGUCACCGCAAUGACUAAGUAACCCUACAGUCUGUAAAAACCCUAUUUCAACUCACUUUGGAAAAUUGUGGUUGCACUUGAGUUAGUUUGGAAAAUAUAAUUUUGUUAAGUCGUCUAAUCUUAAGUCUUAUUUUUUAUUGGUGAUGAUGACUUUUUUUCUUAAAAGAACUCGUUAUUUCUCGUUUUGUUUUGCAAAAUUUUAUUAUCUAGUAAUGCAGUGGGAUACUCUAUUUGUGACAGAUUUUAAUUAGGUCAAAUAACAUGUAUUUUCUAGUUAACUUAUAAAAUCAUUGUGUUGAGCAAUGCAUGCAUAAACCCAAAUCUAAAACCACAAACCACAACUCAGAACUAAACAUUAGAGUCCAAAAAUUGAAUAAAUACUUAUUAAAAAUUAUUAAUAGUAAAAUAGUCCGAAGUCUAUGCUACGUUCACAUGCCGAGUUCGAUCCUAGUCUCGAUCAUUACCUGAGAAGUUAAGACUAGGGGUGAGCUUAAAAUAGCUCACUAUAAGUCAAUAACAGUAUAAUCAUACAAUCAUUCACACGGGCAAAAAUCAUCAUUUUCAUUACAGUACGAUACGUGACAUAUUUCAAUAAUCCUAAGAACAUGUCAUUAGCAUGAUGCAAUAAAAAAUGAUUCUUACCCAUCCAUCCGCUACACACCAUGAGUUUCCCAGAACUUGUUUGCCAAUCACCAAUACAAUAGUGCAAAUAUACUACCAAUAAAUAUGCAAACAAGUUACCAAUAAAGGUAAAUACAAUUAAACUGCCAAUAAUGCGAUAAAUUUGCCAAUCUCCUCGGUACUCGAUGUAGUGCACUAAAAACAAUAAUACAAACUUUAACUAUAGUCGGUACUCCACGGAUCUCCUCCAUCAACCACAAUAACUCAUCCCAUGCACAUGUGAUAUAACAUGCAAUCAUUAAGCAAAAUCAUGCUUUCAAUUUGGUUUCAGUACAAUGCCAUGUCUUACAUGCUUACGGUACCAUAAUCAAUUCAAUGGCAUGGUUAACAUGCUUACGGUAACAUAAUCAAUUCAAUGGCAUGCUUAACAUGCUUAAGGUAACAUAAUCAAUUCAAUUGAAAGCUUAUCAUACUUAUGGUAACAUAUUUAGUAUAUGGAUUGCAAGCAUUUAGUCAGUCGAUACAAUGGGAUCACAACCAGACAUAGUUAUUAUGCAAUCAAACAAUAACUCAAUGAGUCGCAUGCUAUACAGGUCCUCAAUCAAACAAAGUUAAAACCCACACAUUAAAAUAGCAAGUCCGCAAUACUAAUCCAUAAAGCUUUUGCUUCCACCCUUAAACCUUAAACGUGACUAAAAAAAUUACAAUAUUUAACAUAUUAAAAUAAUGUUAAAAAAACUUUAAACACCUUCCAAAUGGUUCGACCAAAUCAAUGUUACACCCACCAAUUUCUAGAGAAAUUCGGCAAGGAAAAUUACACUGAUUUAAUGCAAAAUGAGGGCACGAAUGGAAUCCGACUUCAUUGUUGAUCCGGGAUGUUCAAAUUAGUUUCUACAACCAAAAUAUUAUUGAAAAUAAGUAAUUUAAAACCAAUUACGAGCCCUAAAAAAUCAGCCAUAGCAUCCUCUAUUAACGAAAACAAUACUAUGUAGUUAUUCGCACCAAUCGCACUUACGCUUUCCGUUUUACUAAAUCCGAGUUGCCAAACGAAUGGGAUCAGAAACACUUAUAAAGGACAAGACCGAAGGCUGAUUAGAAUACAGGAACAACGAAUUAAACUUGCUGAAGAGUGGCAGAAAAGAGAAGAAAAAUGGCAGCCCCAUAAUAAUGAUUCAAGGGACGGCAUACCACCACAAUUGGCACAAUAAGGGGCUAUUUUUGUUCAGCACCAAAAAGGGAAUUUAAGGGCUGGUUAGGGAUUGUUUUUAGACUUGAAAAAAAAGGAAAAAAGGCUGGAAAUGGAGCAUAAAACAUCAAUUAAUGGCUCGAUAUGACAACCAACAAAGGGGAUCUAAGGGCAACAGAUACCACCAACGGCGGUAGCUCUAAGGCUAGUUUGGGGUAGUUUAAAAGGGGUGUUUAAGGGUUGAUUUGAACAACAACAAAAAAACAUGAGAUCUCAACAAAACAAUAGCUUAAAAUCCACAACAAAGGAAAUAAGACGAAGGAGAGAAAGAAUGGCACUUACACUGAGAAGAGAAUGAGCAGCACAAUAGAGUUUUUUGGGGGUAGCACAGUGAAGGAGAAAUGAAGCAAAAACGAGAGAAUUUGAGAGAAGGAAAAGGAUUGGAUGGAUACAGCAAAAGAAAAGAUGAAAAAAAGGCUAAAAAAUGGUUGAAAAUGUUACAUUUAUACUUACAUUAACUAGGCUGGGUGGCACAAAAAUAGGAGAGGAAAAUAGAAAAAAUUUAGUCAUUUUGUAAGGGAAAGGAAACAAACUCGGGUAUCUAAUCCAACUACACUCGGUCCUUAUUUUCUCUUCACCUUU